AUGGCGGUAGUGCUUGGAGCUCGGCGUCGCCUCCCUCCAGACGCCUGUGGUGUGCGAGAUGGAAGUCGCCUCCCUCCCUUCGACACCACUACCAGAACUGGUCGACGCCGCCGGUCGCGUCCCUCUCUUCUCCGCGGUGACGAGCAUGGGCGGGUUCCCCACCAUGGCUUCCUCGCCGCCAACGGCGAGCGCGGUGCCUCCUCUCCACGCUCUGUAGAUCCGUCCCGGUGGAAACUCGAUGCAGGUGAGAUUUUCCUUACCAAGGUUGUGAACCUCUCCUUCCCUGCUCGAUUGAGAACUCACGGUGGGAGUUGUCCAGUUGUCCGUAGGAAGCCAGAUUUCCCCUUCCACCGAGUUAUACUAGGCUCAAGUCUUCCUUAUUAUUAUUUUUCUUUUGCUACCAAAUUGAUGCAUGUUCUAUCAGUGAAAGGAUUGGAGACUGGUUCUAGUAGUGGUGGUUUGUUUGAUGAAUUUCUAGUGCCCAUGAUUUGCAAAGGGUUUCAGCCAGUACUGGCGUCUAGCAACCUUGAAGCCCACAGUUGA
rnacentral:rRNA from 1 species